rnacentral:rRNA from 1 species
AUUGAACGCUGGCGGCAUGCUUUACACAUGCAAGUCGAACGGCAGCACGGACUUCGGUCUGGUGGCGAGUGGCGAACGGGUGAGUAAUACAUCGGAACGUGCCCAGUUGUGGGGGAUAACUACUCGAAAGAGUAGCUAAUACCGCAUGAGAACUGAGGUUGAAAGCAGGGGAUCGUAAGACCUUGCGCAACUGGAGCGGCCGAUGGCAGAUUAGGUAGUUGGUGGGAUAAAAGCUUACCAAGCCGACGAUCUGUAGCUGGUCUGAGAGGACGACCAGCCACACUGGGACUGAGACACGGCCCAGACUCCUACGGGAGGCAGCAGUGGGGAAUUUUAGACAAUGGGCGCAAGCCUGAUCCAGCAAUGCCGCGUGCAGGAUGAAGGCCUUCGGGUUGUAAACUGCUUUUGUACGGAACGAAAAGCCCUGGGUUAAUACCCUGGGGUCAUGACGGUACCGUAAAAAUAAGCACCGGCUAACUACGUGCCAGCCGCCGCGGUAACAC